rnacentral:rRNA from 1 species
CAGCCGCCGCGGGAAUACAGAGGGUGCGAGCGUUAAUCGGAUUUACUGGGCGUAAAGCGUGCGUAGGCGGCUUUUUAAGUCGGAUGUGAAAUCCCUGAGCUUAACUUAGGAAUUGCAUUCGAUACUGGGAAGCUAGAGUAUGGGAGAGGAUGGUAGAAUUCCAGGUGUAGCGGUGAAAUGCGUAGAGAUCUGGAGGAAUACCGGUGGCGAAGGCGGCCCCCUGGACAAAGACUGACGCUCAGGUGCGAAAGCGUGGGGAGCAAACAGGAUUAGAUACCCCGGUAGUCCCUGUCUCUUAUAC